rnacentral:lncRNA from 1 species
GUGAAACACCUUCCUGCUGAAGGCACCCACCAGCAGAGCAGCAAGGCUUCUUCCUAGCUUUGUUGUCCGAGAUGAAGAUGAGCAGGACACAGCAUCCAUGGCACUCCCCCUCGUAAAUAAGGCCUCAACACUGUCAAAAGUUUUGUCUCAGAUUUGUAGUUAUAUCUCAGUCUUCACAGGCUUUCUUGCAUUUGGAUCACUGCAAUGCUUUUGUACCUAAAAUAAUAGCUUGUUAAGACAGUAUUACAGUCAUAUAACUUGUUGGGAAAAGCACACCAUGGCUCAAAAUCUGAAUUAAACAUGUGUCAUUGUGGUGAAGGAAGAAAUCUUCCACCUUCCAGAAACCUGAUAUUUUGGACCAGAUCCCUCUCUGAACAGGUUGUAUGCUGCCCUUUUCAAAAUCAAGCUAUCAGAAGAUGCCCUUCAGCAGAAGUGUUAAGAGGACUUGCAAGGAGGAACUUGGUUUUGGACUUGUGUAAUGACAAUGCCCUUGUAAUUGAAAGAAAAAAGAAAAAGGAAAUCUGGGAGACGAUUAGUCUACAUGUGGUAUACUUCUUUUUCCUAAGUUGA